UACGAAGGGGGCUAGCGUUGUUCGGAAUUAUUGGGCGUAAAGCGCGCGCAGGCGGUCCUUUAAGUCUGAUGUGAAAGCCCACGGCUCAACCGUGGAGGGUCAUUGGAAACUGGGGGACUUGAGUGCAGAAGAGAAGAGUGGAAUUCCAUGUGCAGCGGUGAAAUGCGUAGAGAUGUGGAGGAACACCGGUGGCGAAGGCGGCGACCUGGUCCGAUACUGACGCUGAGGCGCGAAAGCGUGGGGAGCAAACAGG
rnacentral:rRNA from 1 species